rnacentral:rRNA from 1 species
UACAGAGGGUGCGAGCGUUAAUCGGAAUUACUGGGCGUAAAGCGCACGUAGGCGGCUUGGUAUGUCGGGUGUGAAAUCCCCGGGCUCAACCUGGGAACUGCAUCCGAAACUGCCUUGCUCGAGUAUGGGAGAGGGAAGUGGAAUUUCCGGUGUAGCGGUGAAAUGCGUAGAUAUUCGGAGGAACACCAGUGGCGAAGGCGGCUCACUGGUCCAUUACUGACGCUGAGGUGCGAA